rnacentral:rRNA from 1 species
GAUGAACGCUGGCGGCGUGCUUAACACAUGCCAGUCGAACGAAGCACUUUAUUUGAUUUCCUUCGGGACUGAUUAUUUUGUGACUGAGUGGCGGACGGGUGAGUAACGCGUGGGUAACCUGCCUUGUACAGGGGGAUAACAGUUGGAAACGGCUGCUAAUACCGCAUAAGCGCACAGCAUCGCAUGAUGCAGUGUGAAAAACUCCGGUGGUAUAAGAUGGACCCGCGUUGGAUUAGCUAGUUGGUGAGGUAACGGCCCACCAAGGCGACGAUCCAUAGCCGACCUGAGAGUGUGACCGGCCACAUUGGGACUGAGACACGGCCCAAACUCCUACGGGAGGCAGCAGUGGGGAAUAUUGUACAAUGGGCGAAAGCCUGAUGCAGCGACGCCGCGUGAGCGAAGAAGUAUUUCGGUAUGUAAAGCUCUAUCAGCAGGGAAGAUAAUGACGGUACCUGACUAAGAAGCACCGGCUAAAUACGUG